rnacentral:rRNA from 1 species
GACAUAGGUGGCGAGCGUUAUUCGGAAUUACUAGGCGUAAAGCGAGUGUAGGCGGACUCUUAAGUCUGACGUUAAAUCUCUCGGCUUAACUGAGAGCUGUCGUCGGAUACUGAGAGCCUCGAAUGGAGUAGGGGGCAGGGGGAUUCCCGGUGUAGCGGUGAAAUGCGUAGAUAUCGGGAGGAACACCUAUGGCGAAAGCACCUGCCUGGGCUUCUAUUGACGCUAAGACUCGAAAGCUGGGGGAGCAAACAGG